rnacentral:rRNA from 1 species
GACGAACGCUGGCGGCGUGCUUAACACAUGCAAGUCGAACGGAAAGGCCCUGCUUUUGUGGGGUGCUAGAGUGGCGAACGGGUGAGUAACACGUGAGUAACCAGCCCUUGACGUUGGGAUAACUUCAGGAAACUGGGGCUAAUACCGGAUAGGAGCUCCUGCUGCAUGGUGGGGGUUGGAAAGUUUCGGCGGUUGGGGAUGGACUCGCGGCUUAUCAGCUUGUUGGUGGGGUAGUGGCUUACCAAGGCUUUGGCGGGUAGCCGGCCUGAGAGGGUGACCGGCCACAAUGGGCCUGAGAUACGACCCAGACUCCUACGGGAGGCAGCAGUGGCGAAUAUUGCACAAUUGGCGGAACCCUGAUGCAGCAACGCAGCGUUGGGGAUACGGGCCUUCGUGUUGUAAACCACUUUCGCCUGUAACGAAGCGUAAGUGACGGUAAUGGGCAAAUAAGCACCGGCUAACUACGUG